rnacentral:rRNA from 1 species
GUGGGGAAUUUUGGACAAUGGGCGCAAGCCUGAUCCAGCAAUGCCGCGUGCAGGAAGAAGGCCUUCGGGUUGUAAACUGCUUUUGUCAGGGAAGAAAUCUUCUGGGCUAAUACCCCGGGAGGAUGACGGUACCUGAAGAAUAAGCACCGGCUAACUACGUGCCAGCAGCCGCGGUAAUACGUAGGGUGCGAGCGUUAAUCGGAAUUACUGGGCGUAAAGCGUGCGCAGGCGGCUUUGCAAGACAGAUGUGAAAUCCCCGGGCUCAACCUGGGAACUGCAUGUGUGACUGCAAGGCUAGAGUACGGCAGAGGGGGAUGGAAUUCCGCGUGUAGCAGUGAAAUGCGUAGAUAUGCGGAGGAACACCAAUGGCGAAGGCAAUCCCCUGGGCCUGUACUGACGCUCAUGCACGAAAGCGUGGGGAGCAAACAGGAUUAGAUACCCUGGUAGUCC